GAUGAACGCUGGCGGCGUGCCUAACACAUGCAAGUCGAGUGAACCCUUUGGGGUGAGCGGCGGACGGGUGGGUAACGCGUGGGUAACCUGCCCUAUACACACGGAUAACGUACCAAAAGGUACGCUAAUACGGGAUAAAGUUGUUGGAUGGCAUCUUCUAACAAUCAAAGCUCCGGCGGUAUAGGAUGGACCCGCGUCUGAUUAGCUAGUUGGUGAGGUAAUGGCUCACCAAGGCGACGAUCAGUAGCCGACCUGAGAGGGUGAUCGGCCACACUGGAACUGAGACACGGUCCAGACUCCUACGGGAGGCAGCAGUGGGGAAUAUUGCACAAUGGGCGAAAGCCUGAUGCAGCAACGCCACGUGAGCGAUGAAGGUCUUCGGAUCGUAAAGCUCUGUCCUCAAGGAAGAUAAUGACGGUACUUGAGGAGGAAGCCCCGGCUAACUACGUGCCAGCAGCCGCCGUAA
rnacentral:rRNA from 1 species